UCCUCCUCCUGAGCCUUCUCCUGUGUCCAUGUGAUAGGCCUCCUCCUCCUCCUCCUCCUGAGCCUUCUCCUCCUGUGUCCAUGUGAUAGGCCUCCUCCUCCUCCUCCUCCUUCUCCUCCCGUGUCCAUGUGAGAGGCUUCCUCCUCCUCCUCCUGAGCCUUCUCCUCCUGUGUCCAUGUGAUAGGCCUCCUCCUCCUCCUCCUGAGCCUUCUCCUCCUGUGUCCAUGUGAUAGGCCUCCUCCUCCUCCUCCUCCUCCUCCUCCUCCUCCUUCUCCUGUGUCCAUGUGAUAGGCCUCCUCCUCCUCCUCCUCCUCCUGAGCCUUCUCCUGUGUCCAUGUGAUAGGCCUCCUCCUCCUCCUCCUGAGCCUUCUCCUGUGUCCAUGUGAUAGGCCUCCUCCUCCUCCUCCUCCUCCUGAGCCUUCUCUUAUCUGUAGCCAGUUAGUAGUUGCUAAACAGCCUCGAAAGGACCAAGAGGUCUGUUUGUUUGGCUUUCUUCUUCAGAGGACGCCGCAGACCGCGGAGACGUGCUGUCCGGCACAGGUCCUGCCUCUGCUGAAGGGAGAACUAAACCAGCGUGUCCCAACAACCCCCAACCUGCUGCAGGAAACUGGCUCUUCUUGCAUUGGAAGACGGAAAGUCUCGCUGCGCCUUCCACGGUGGAAUUGGAUCCUGCCUCGCACCAGCUGCCAUGACACUUGUCAUCCAGGGAGAGAGGACAGCCUGCAUCUCUGCACAUUCCACGGAGGAAUUGGACCCUGCCGCACACCAGCUGGCAUGACAUGUGCCAUCCAGGGAGGAAGGACACACUGCAUUUCUGCACAUUCUACGGAAAAAUUGGACCUUGCUGACAACACGCGGCGUCAUCCAGGGAGGGAGGACAGACUGAGUUGCUGCAUCUAACCUAACAAAUACAUGUUGCCAAUCACUCUUAUGUUGUUAUUCCUUCCAUCUGAUGUGAAUGUUACUCAUAAAUGUAAUGUUAUUAUUCCUUCAUGUUCUGUGAUGUACCCACACAACUGGUGGUAGUUUUUAAUAAAUCAUGAUUAAGAAAACUGAAA